rnacentral:ncRNA from 1 species
GUUAAUUCUUGUAUUGUUUGAACCGAGGCUUUUCCAUAAGAUUUGGUGCCAACAAUUUUCGCUCUCUUAUGAUCUUGUAAUGCUCCUGCUACUAUUUCUGAAGCAGAUGCNGAACCUUCAUUAAUCAUAACUAUNAGAGGUAAC